AUCCAUUUGUGGUUCAUAAGCAUGAUUAUUGGGUUUUCACGCCGUGUGCGCUGUGCCUCCUUCAAACCUUGUUACGACAUUGGCAUAUUACCUAUCUGACA
ensembl:snoRNA